ACCUUCUCGCCUUAAGGGCGCCUAAAGCUUUAAUAAUUCUACUUUUAACAUUUAUUGUUUUGCAGUGUUAUUAACCAUAUCCCAAAUCUAACAAGUAUUCCUCUUUUGGUUUGUCUUCCUCAGUUUGGAGAAUUGUGUUUUUGUUUAUUUUCUUUUCAAUUUUUCAAUUCAGCCCCCAAUUUUUUUAUUAAUAACGGAACGGCAAUAUUGAAAAGUUAAAUAAGAAAUUUGGGGUUCACUGAUCAUGGUUUUGUUGGAUGUUAUUUUUCCCCAUCCAUGGAAUAAAGUGUUUGUUGAAACUAAUUAGGACCUAGGAGAAGAAAUUAAGAUCAAAACUGACAAUGACUGAGAUGUUUACCUUUUGAAACUCGUGGUGCAUUGAUGUGUUGGUAAUAUUCUAAUUUCAACUUAAAUUUUUUAAUAUUUGCUGACCAUCUAGAUUGUUCAUGAAGAUAGAUUAGGCUUCCUCUCCUAGAAAGCCCAUAAGGUCUGAAUACCAUUGGCAUAGUUUUUCUAAAUGCAAACUACAGUAACCCAAUAAAUCUCAUAGCAUCUCUUGAUUGACAGCAUUAUUAUGUUGCAGGUAAAAAUUUCAAAAUUUAUGGUAUCUUGGAAGCUGCUAAAGUAUUACUGCAUGCAUUCUGGCAUUAUCCUUUUAAGAUAUGAUGACACAUUGACACGUAAUCUAGUCUAUAAAAUAUGCCCCUAUUUUCUGAAGUUGCCACAUUGUAAUUAUAGUUGAUCAUUAACUUUGUUAAAACUUUGUUGUUAUCACGUCUGUUUGAUAGGGGUAGUUGACUUUAUCUAGUUUGGGACUGGGGUUUUGUUAGGUUGAGUAUGGCAUGUCUAUUUGAUUGGUUCGGACUUUGGUCCUGUUAGGUAACUGGAAAUACAAUGUUGUUUAAUACCUGAUCUGAUAUUAUUUCCUGGAUGUGGUAUAUUUUCCAAAAGCCAAUCCAGUAUAUUACUACUAUGAGCUAACGGUAAUAUAAGAGACUUCAAACUCAAUUAGGGGAUAAUAUUUUCCCAUUUCUGUCCUUUAGUCCUUUAGUAGCAUUUUGAUUUUAGAUUCAUACUUGUGAUAACAUCUUGUAUAUUUAUUGUGUACAGGUGCGUGAUAAGGGUAUUUGGUUAUUUUCACACAAAGAUGUCUCCAAAUUCCGAAGAUUUGGGAUUCUUCCCAGUAUGUUUCCUUCUGGAAGAACCUAUGUUGCCCCAACAAAUGGAGAUCAUAAGCAUGAGAAUGGUGCUAAUAUGAAUUCUGAAGAUGAGCUAAUGGAGGAUCCUAUGACUUCAACAGAGGAUUUGAAUGAAGAAGUUUCUGAUCUCCCUCUAGAGCGUUGCAUGAGGAUAGUACCUCAUGAUCAGAACAGUGGGGCCUUUUUCAUCGCUGUCCUCCGCAAACUCUCUCCUUUG
rnacentral:misc_RNA from 1 species